rnacentral:rRNA from 1 species
UGAGUUUGAUCAUGGCUCAGAUUGNNNGCUGGCGGCAGGCCUAACACAUGCAAGUCGAGCGGUAACAGGACUAGCUUGCUAGUUGCUGACGAGCGGCGGACGGGUGCGUAACACGUAGGAAUCUGCCCGGUAGUGGGGGAUAGCCCGGAGAAAUCCGGAUUAAUACCGCAUACGCCUUACGAGGGAAAGAAGGGGCCUCUUCGGAGCCUUUCGCUAUCGGAUGAGCCUGCGUCGGAUUAGCUAGUUGGUGGGGUAAAGGCCUACCAAGGCGACGAUCCGUAGCUGGUCUGAGAGGAUGAUCAGCCACACUGGGACUGAGACACGGCCCAGACUCCUACGGGAGGCAGCAGUGGGGAAUAUUGCACAAUGGGGGAAACCCUGAUGCAGCCAUGCCGCGUGUGUGAAGAAGGCUCUAGGGUUGUAAAGCACUUUCAGCGAGGAGGAAAGG